UUAAUCCGACCAAAUAACAUCUCUCUACGUAUGGUUGCACUGUCGCGUCAUUUUCAUCUCUUCGUGCGCUUCAUUUACCUAUCAAACGAAUAGUCUAAAAAUAAAAUGGCUAAAAAUAAAAUCUCAUAAAAAAUAAUAAUAAAAGGCUUGAUUUACGAUCAGAGAUGCUGAUCUUAUUUUAAAUAGUAAAAAAAAAAUUCUAUAAAAAUUUUAUCAGAUUUGGAUUGUUUUAUAUAGUUAAAUUUACAAACGCAUUACAUCUAUCAUUAAAAUUGUCAAUUUUGAGAUCUUUUGAUUACUAGCCAAUUGAUGUCAUAAAAUUAUAAAAUUUAGUUUUCAAAUAUUUUUAAUAGUAUAGAUCAAGUCUAACGAAGUGGAUCGUCAAUUUAGAAGCCGCAUUAUUGAAAACAACUUGAUAGCACGGAGGCCUCCGUGCGACUGAUAAUAUACCAGCCUAGCUCUCUUUCUCUUUAUAUAUAUAUAUAUAUGGGGCAAUUGCUUAUAUACUCCUGAAAAAUUCUCGACAUUCCGAUUUACUCCUCUUAGAAGGCUAAUAUUGAAAAUACUCUUUUACGUUCCAACCUAUUUCUAAUAUACCCCUAGGGGCCCGUUUGGUUCGAGUUAUGUAAUAUUACAAAGUAUCUCGACAUAUCCAGAUAUCUUGGAUUUCGGCGUGAGAUUACUACUGAUACUGCAUUAGCGCGUUUGGUUUAAUACAGUAAUGUAAUACUAAAUUACAGUGUUUAUAGCAUUAAUACGUUUGGUUCAGUUUAUAAAAUUUAGUAAUCCUGGCAUAAAACUAUAGUUUUUUUUCAAAAUUGCCCUUGUUGUUGUCAUUUGAAUAUUAUUUUUUGCGGAAUAUGACGAAUAAAGGGAAGGAGAUCAUGAUGAUUACCUGGGAGGACGACACAAUAGAAGAUGAUAGGUGUUCGUGCGCGCGCGCGAGAGAGAGAGAGAGAGAGAGAAAGUGGCGUGCGAGAGAGAGGGGGGAAGGCGAGAGAGAGAUGAAAAUAAUGCUGUUAAUUAGAUUUGAAGUUGUUGGAGGGUAAAAUUGUCAUUUUACAUAAUAUAUAGUAUUAACGGGUUUCAGUAAUGCAAGAUACACAAUCCCCCUCCCGUUAAUAUUUUCGAUAUAAUCCUGCUCGAUUUGUAAUGCUACAAUAACGACUAGAUUACAUAGCGGAUUAACCAAAUAUAGUUAUCCUGGCAGGAUUGCCUGUAAUCCUGCCAUGAUAACUCGAACCAAUCGCACUUUAGAAUUAAAAUUUGUUAAUUAACUUUAUUAUCUAUGUACAAUUACUAUUUUGUCCUUUCAAAUAUACUAUUCCACCAUCACCGACUUUCUUAUUUGCCCUUAAAAUCAGGAACACAAAAAGUAUUUUGACUUUUGGUCUUUUCAAAUAUAUUCCUCUACUGUCACCAACAUUUCUUAUUUGCUCUUAAGUUAAGGACAAAAUUAGCAUUUUAAUUUUUUUUAAUUAUGGUAGAUAUUUAAUUUACGUUUAACCCAAGUUAACUUAACAUGAGAUAGCUGCGGGAGUAUUUUGCAACAACGGUGGAACAUAUGAGGGGCAUUUUAAAAAGAAAAAAAAAUAGAGGUAAAUUGGUUAUUUUCAAAUAUAUAUAUCGAGUGCCACAGCUACGGAUGUCAAUGGGUAUAAAUACCCGAAAUUUUAUUCGAAUCCGAAACCAAAUGAAACGGAUAUAUCCGAUACUAAUUGGAUAUGAAUUCGGAUAUGGAUAAAAAACAUAAAAACCCGACGGAUAUGGAUUUUGACUAUACCCGACCCGAACCCGAAUUUAUUUUGUAUUAUAUAUAUAUAUAUAUAUAUAUAUAUAUAUAUAUAUAUAUAUAUUUAUUUAUUUAUUUAUUUAUUUAUUUGAUGUUAUAUUUAAAUUUGUAUUUUAAAAAUUUAGAUUUAAUAUAAUAUAUUUUGAAAUAUUGUAAAAAAGAAAUAAUGGUUUCGGAUUCAAAUUUUUUGAGUUUGGAUUCGGGUUCGUGUUCGGGUUUCGGAUCUCGGGUUUGAAGUCUGAUUCGGAUUCGAAUAUUUAAAAAUCUACUCUGAAUCCGACCCGUUGA
rnacentral:lncRNA from 1 species